rnacentral:rRNA from 1 species
UACGUAGGUGGCAAGCGUUGUCCGGAAUUAUUGGGCGUAAAGCGCGCGUAGGCGGCAACUUAAGUCGGAUGUGAAAGCCCCUGGCUCAACUGGGGAAGUGCACCCGAAACUGAGUCGCUAGAGUACAAAAGAGGGUCGCGGAAUUCCCGGUGUAGAGGUGGAAAUUCGUAGAUAUCGGGAGGAACACCGGUGGCGAAGGCGGCGACC